AGUGAACGCUGGCGGUAGGCCUAACACAUGCAAGUCGAACGGCAGCACAGUAAGAGCUUGCUCUUACGGGUGGCGAGUGGCGGACGGGUGAGGAAUACAUCGGAAUCUACUUUUUCGUGGGGGAUAACGUAGGGAAACUUACGCUAAUACCGCAUACGACCUACGGGUGAAAGCAGGGGAUCUUCGGACCUUGCGCGAUUGAAUGAGCCGAUGUCGGAUUAGCUAGUUGGCGGGGUAAUGGCCCACCAAGGCGGCGAUCCGUAGCUGGUCUGAGAGGAUGAUCAGCCACACUGGAAGUGAGACACGGUCCAGACUCCUACGGGAGGCAGCAGUGGGGAAUAUUGGACAAUGGGCGCAAGCCUGAUCCAGCCAUACCGCGUGGGUGAAGAAGGCCUUCGGGUUGUAAAGCCCUUUUGUUGGGAAAGAAAAGCAGCAGGUUAAUACCCCGCUGUUCUGACGGUACCCAAAGAAUAAGCACCGGCUAACUUCGUG
rnacentral:rRNA from 1 species